rnacentral:rRNA from 1 species
AAUUUUGGACAAUGGGGGAAACCCUGAUCCAGCCAUCCCGCGUGUGCGAUUAAGGCCUUCUGUUUGUAAAGCACUUUUGUCAGGGAAGAAAACGUCCUGGCUAAUACCCGGAACUGCUGUCAGUACCUAUAGAAUAUGCAUCGGCUAACUACGUGCCAGCCUCCGCGGUAAUACGUAGCGUUCAAGCGUUAAUCGUAAUUACUGGGCGUAAAGCGUGCGAAGGCGGUUAGGAAAGAAGGAUGUGAAAGCCCAGGGCUCAACCUUGGAACUGCAUGCUUAACUACCGAACUAGAGUAUGUCAGAGGGGGGUAGAAUUCCGCGUGUAGCAGUGAAAUGCGUAGAUAUGCGGAGGAAUACCGAUGGCGAAGGCAGCCCCCUGGGAUAAUACUGACGCUCAUGCACGAAAGCGUGGGUAGCAAACAGG